ensembl:lncRNA
CAAAGAGGUGUGGUUUGUAUCACCCAUAUAUUAAAAGCCAAUUUUGUUGCUAACCUUUGUUGGACAUGGUGUUCUUCUCCCUACUUACUGAAUCUGGCAAUAAAACCUUGCAAGCAAGAGGAAGGGAAGAGAGAUGGCGAGCAUGAAUUAGCAUAUUCAGUACAGUGUCCAAGAGUGGUGCAGUAUGGAACUGAGAUGUUUCUUAUGUCACAUAAGCCUGUGUUUUAAAUAGGGGCCAUCUAAUAUUAGUGGCCUGCUGGUCUGUGAAUUUGACAGUGGAACAGAGGGGAAUAUCCUUCUCUGGUGGAGGAGCUUGAAAGGAUCAAUGUGGAAGGGCAAUGAAUUUUAAAACCGUAAAAUUUCUUAAAUUCAAGUCAGCUGUAUACCUGCCACUGUCCUGAAGGUAAAGUUGCUUUUUUACCCAUUAAAACUUUUUGUUUGUUUGUUUUUUUUAAUGAUAUGUAUACAACCUGGUAUAUAUAAAUAUCAGUGGACUACGGUUAUUAGUACAAUUUCAUAAAGUGUAUAACAGAAGGAAACAAGAUUUCAACUAAGAUAGACUGCAUUUAGAUCAGCAACUGACUAUUUUGGAUAAUCUUGCACAAAAUGACAAGUACUAACAACAUUUGUCUCAGAAGUGAGAUAGAUACAUUUAAUGGUCUUUAUUAUAAAGUCUCAUUUUUUUCUCCAUGAACCUCCAUGAACACUCGGGAGCAAGGACAUGUCAAGGAGAUAUUUCUCUUCAUACUCAAACUUCCACACUCUCACAUUAAACUAGUAAGAUCCUAGAACAGUUCAAUGAAUUUUUUUGUUUGUUUGUUUUGUUUACUUAUUUAUUUUUAAACUGAGUUAAAAGAAAAGGAACAAAAAUAAUGUUAAAACAUCAGUACCUAAAUAAGGACAAUAUGAAAUGUGAGGUAAAAUUUGAUGAAGAGGGUUUUUAAACAACUAGGGUAGUAGAUGUUUAGGAACUGGUUGUAAAGGAGUUCUGUGUUGAAUUGCAUUUAUCAACUUAUUUUCCACAAUAUUUAUGCCUUAUAGGAAUUAUUGUCUACGUAGGGAUGUUUAUGUCAUACUCAUUGUGUAGAAUUUGUAUUCAAAGAUGAAUGCAUACAGCCAUAUGAGUGUUUGUGUAAAUAUACCAAGAUUUCUAAGGAGAACUAAAAGCAAACACUGAGGACUCAAUGAUAUAUAUACAAAGGCAGUUCUGAAAGUAAUACCUCCUAUUUUAUUAUGUCAGCCCAUGACAUCAGAGGCAGAUGUUGCUGAUAUGGCAGUUGAGGCUGAACCUUUUCACCAAUAUUCUAUUACAUAUUGUUGUUGUGUGACAGAUGGCAGCAGAGGGGCAGUCUGACAAAAUGGCAUCUGAUAUGAAGGUGCAUAUGAAUCAAAGGUGUGUCACUGAUUUCCUCACUAUGGGAAAAAUUGUACCUGUUGAUAUUCAUCUAUGCUUGCUGAGUACUGAUAGACACCAAACAGUAGAUGUGAGCACAGUGAUGUUAUGGGUGGAGUGUUUCAGCAAUGACACCACCAUAGCAGCUGUGAAACUAUGGGUUUCUACUGGUGCAGAUUUUUGUGAGCACAGCAUGAAGACUCAUGUUCAUCACUGGCAAAAAAUGCACAGAUAAUGGUGGUGACUCUGCUGAAAAAGAGUGUUUUUUAGCUGAGAAUUUGCUCUAUCAAAUAAUGCCAUGGUGUUCUUUGUAUCUGUUGUGGUUUCCAUGGAAAUACAUAGAAGGCAUUACUUUUGGAGCAACCUACAGAGAGAUACAGAGACAGAAAAAUCUGUCUCAUCUUUAUUAAGAAUUCAGAAAGAGUACUGAAAGCUAGCAAAAUGAUCUUGUAAAGUGUAUAAAAUUACAUGGCAAAAAAGAAAUUGGGCAGUUUUUUUUGCUCAGUGGAUAACUUUAGGGGACAGAGAAUCUGUAUUUCAUACAUUUACAUGGUCUCUGGCCAUCUUUACAAGCUUCAAGGCAAAACAGGAAGAUUGUGCCAUUUCAUGUUUGUUAAUAUAUGAUUUUAUAUCAAAAUGCAUGUAAAAUGUUUUACUUAUUAUUCAAAUUGAAAUUACACUUCACUUUCCCACGUGGCAUAUUCGUAUUUAGAACAAGCUGCAGUCAGACAUAACAACUGUAUGGAGAAGACUGAGGUGCUAACAGGUACAUGAACAAAAAUAUUUUCAGCAGCCUUUAUAAAGUCUGUGUCACAACUUCACAGCAGCUGAUGAGAUCACAAUGUGCUAAUGUCUGUACCAACUACUUCUUCGCUGUGUUCCUGUCUCACUUCCCUCCUCCUAGUGCCUGACCUACUUUACAUCACUUUUCCCUGAUGGGCAUUAUAAAACACCUGAAAUCCUUCAAGCCAUGAAGAUCUGGUAAUACUCUAGGUACAAAUCCACAAUUAUUACUGUCCAUCAUUUAUAUGCUAGAUACAUCCCAGUGGCCAUUCAUAGACAUAAAUUAUCAUUCUGUGUCAUGCAAUUGUUUUAGUCCCAGAAGCACAGGACUGUUAAGGGAGUUCUUACUGUCCUGUACUAUUAGUUGCAGAUGAGAGUUCAAGCAAAGACUUUAAGAAAUUGUUUCCUCCUCUCUGGUUAGUAUUCUCUGGGUUAUUACAGUCCUCUAAUGGAACAUAACAGACAUCAUAGCUAUAUAGAGGACAGCUGUAGACUUUCUCAUAUAAACAUCAGUACAGAAGACUUGUUAAAGGAAUGUAGAAAGAAACAGUGUUGCUUUUAAAUAACUCAUUUUAAAACAUCGAAGAGCUAGUCUGGUUAACAGUGUAUGUACAUAAUAUAUAUCUCAAAACAGAAAAUGUUUAGUUGUAGGGAAAAAAAGAAAUAAAAAAUUUGGAAAUUUAUGUCUGUCUUUUAAGAAGCCUAACACAAAAGACAAUAUAAAUUUAUAUAUUCACAAGAAUGUUGUGAAACAGUUAAAAUACUAUAUACAGUACACAUUAAAAAAAAAAAAAAAAAAAAAGGAAUGCAAUGAAUAGUUAUUAGCUGCAUUAUGUUAGCUCCAUCUUUUACCCACAGGCAUUUUACCAUUACCGCAGUUAUUGUAUAUCACAAAUUACAGACCAACUCCAGUAUUUGCUACCACAGAAUUACAGCCUAAGGGAGUGCCAGGUUUUCUGUCAUCAGUAUUCAGGACACUACGUUUGCAUGGAUAAUGAUAGAAACCAGAGAGGGCAACCAACAAUUUGGAAAAACUGCAGAGAAUUAUAACACAAAAUAUGCUACUCUUGAGCCUGUACUUAUACAUUAUGUAGUUUCAGGUUCCUAGGUGAGCGGAGACUGCAGCACUGCAAGGCACACCUAAGGGUGUAUUUACAAGUGCACUUGGAAGAAGAUGUGAACUCAACAGCUUCUGAUACAGUGGUUCCCAAGACAUGAAGUACUCUGCCCUGGGGGCCAACAAGAAAGCAUGAUUCUAAAUAGAAUUUCUGAACCUUUGCCAUUACAAUAAUACUUAUACAGGGAUGCUUUCUGCAUUGAUUUGCUCAACACAC